GCCAUCUUGGUCAGUUAUUUCGAGAAAAGGUUGAGAAGAUUUACUAUCAAUUAGGAAGUCCCAGCCAUUACGUUGAUAUUUUGGUUGCAAUCUAUUCCAUCUUGGUGUAUUGUCUUCAUACUUGGCCACAACAACCCUUCAAAUAGACCAGACUAAACUUGACCUCCAUAUAAACAUUCAAGAUGGUCGGCCUACAUGUCAGAUUUGUAAAUGUGAACGGCACGAUAUCGAUUUUAAGGAUGCUUUAGGGUCAAUGAGGAUGAAAUAAAAUGUGAGACUGUCAAUCUGACAAACCUUGCAGUGAAUAAAUGGAAACAGUGGCGUUUGUAUGAUAGAACAGUAAUAGCAGGAGUGAUAAGGACAGAUGCAUGUAGAUGUGUCUUCAUGUCGGAAACACUAGAGAAAUUGACACAUUUGGGUUUUUCAAAACUUAAAGAAAUUGGAAUACCAGAAGACUGCUUGCCAUUUGCAAUGUUGGAAUGUGUGAUGUCGAAAGCCUCAUGAAUAUAGUAACUUGACUUAAUCUAAUAAGAAAAAGAAAAGACAUUGAGGAGAAAACUAGUCACCAGUCUUUCACCAAGAACAUGAGAUAACUUUCCAAUAUUUGAAAUAUCAUAAUAUGUAUAGAACUUGAAUGAGCGACAUAAUAUGUAUUGAUAUUGAAUGAGCGACCAGUUUUUCACCAGGAAAAUAAGAUCACUUAUCUAUUUUUGAAAUAUGUAUGAACAGAACUCUAUCAACUUCAAGGUGAGAGUUUAUCAUGAAGAACAUGAGAUAACUUAUGUAUGAACAGAACCACAUUUGAAUAUAGAGGCGCCAGUUCAUCACCAAGAAGAUGAGCUAACUUAUCAAUGUUUGAAAUCUGUUAUACCCCGCACAACAAAGUUGUAAGGGGGCUAUACUGGAAUCAGCUUGUCCGGCCGUCGGGCAUCCGUCGCUUUUUUCUUGUCCGUCCAUAAAAUUAAGAUUCCUUUGACCCACAGUCUUCAUAUUAAGCAUGGAGGUAAGUCAUGAUUAGUAGAUGACCUCCAUUAAUUUUGAGAACACCAAGUCAAAGGUCAAGGUCACAGGGGUCUUGACUGAAGAAAGCUUUUCUGCCCAAUAACUUAAGAAUCCUUCGACCCACAGUCUUCAUAUUUGGCAUAGAGGUUAGUCAUGAUAAGUAGAUGUCCCCUAUUUAUUUUCAGGUCUAAGGUCAUGGUCACAGGGGCCUUGGCUAAUUAAAGCUUGUCCGCCCAAUUACCUAAGAAUCCUUAGACCCAUAGUCUUCAUAUUUGGCAUGGAGGUUAGUCAAGAUUAGUAGAAUACCCCUAUUGAUUUUGAGGUUACUGGGGCAAAGGUCAAGGUCACAGGGGCUUUUAUUACAAUUAGCUUGUCUGCUCAAAUGGUCUCAUAUAUUCAUCAUAAAACACCUCCAGGCAAGGCUGCAUGAAAUGGGUGGGGAGGGGUGUUAUUGAAGUCAUUCAAUGGCAGUUUUAGUUUUGAGGUCAGUAGGUCCAAGGUAAAGUUCACUUUGAUCUUUUCCACUAAAACAUGUAGAAUAUAUAACUUAGCAAUGCACUGGCUUACUUCCCUCAGAUUUGGCUGAGCUGUAAAUGACUACUGUUGAUUCUGACAAAUUGGUAUGUGGGGGUAUUCACGCCAUGACAAUGGCAGUUCUAGUUUGUACAGAAAAUAUCAAGGUGCAAGUUUCUUUUAUUAAGAAUAGACUUAUUGAUUAGAUAACUUACAAUAUUUACAAACAUUUAUAAUACCACACCCAUUUAAAGUAUUUCAGCUGAGAUUGUAUUAUCCAAAAUACAUGUAUUGUUAUAAUGUACUUUAUAGUAUAUUUAUUGAUAUAUUUAUUGUAAAGUUUUGAUUCUACUAGAUUUUAAAAACAUUUAGAUUUUACUAGAUCUUGAAAAUAUUUUGUUCCAUGCUCUUUCAUUUAAUUUUGAAUAAUGAAUCCAAUAAAUACCUAUAAUAAGUAUAGGAUUAAAAUUGAUAAUGUUUUCUAUCUUUAACUUAUAUAAAAAAAGUAAUGUUUAAACUGCUGGUUAGAUUUCAAACAGGACUAAACAGGGGUGUACAGUGCCAUCCUUAGUUGUGCACAUUGUUGGCAUGUUCUCAUUGUCGGAUACCCACGGCCGAACCAUUAACAUUCAUCAUUGAUUGCAUGUUAUGUGACAUGUUUAUCAAUUGUGGGUAUCCAACGAUGGCAGCCAUGUUCUGUUUCUCUGCACAAAAUGGCCCAAGAGUUAAAAAAAGAAAAAUCUAUCACAUGUACAACUGCCAAAAUUCAAAAGAGUGAUCAGAACCAUACACAGUUUUGGGAGACAUGUUUUUGUGACAAAAGCCCUUCAAGUUCAUAUAUGACCUUGACCUUUAUUUGAUAUAAAAUAUCUUUGGAGUUAGCUGGAAUUGUCAUUACUUUGUUAUUUUUUACAGAUUUGAAUCAUGCUUGAACAAACAAACACAGA